GUUCACCCCAUUCUCCUGCCUCAGUCUCCCGAGUAGCUGGGACUACAGGUGCCCGCCACCAUGCCUGGCAAAUUUUUAUUUAUUUUUAUUUAUUUUUAUUUUUAGUAGAGACGGGGUUUCACAGUGUUAGCCGGGAUGGUCUCGAUCUCCUGACCUCGUGAUCCGACCGCCUCGGCCUCCCAAAGUGCUGGGAUUACAGGCGUGAGCCACUGCGCCCGGCCGUCAACACUUUGGUUUCUAUCUUUCCAAUCAUUUAUCUGUGCAGAUAUAUUCAUAUUAGAGAUAAUACUUCAUUUCACAAAAAUGAGGUCAUAUGGCGCUUGUUGUUUUACAGCCCACUUUUGUCAUCUAAUGUAUCCUAAACAUUUUUGUCAUGAAAAAACCUGCAUGAUCAUUUUAAUGGCUGCAGAGAAUCCAUCAUAUGUGUAACCAUACUGAUGUAACCAGCCCCCUGUCAUUCAGCAAUUGAGUGGUUUUCCAGUUUUUUACUAUUAUAAACAACAUUUAAUGUUUAAUAACAUUAAAUAUUAGCAUUCAGCCACAGUUAAUUCCUUAGGAUAAGUUCCUGUAACUGGGCCAGGUGCGGUGGCUCACCCAGGUUUUGCUAUUUUUUAAAAAAAAAAUAUUGCCAGUGUAAGAGGUCACUGUUAUUUGGGUUUGCCUUUCUUUGAUCUCCACUGGGUCUGAGCUUUAUUCCUGUGUUUAUUUUGGGCUUGCAUCUAGAAUGGAACAGGAGACUUUGUCUAGGAGCUCUUCAUGUGGUGUUUCCCUGCCUUUGCACAGCAUCACUGGCAUCAAAAGCCAAGUUCUUUUAUUUUAUUUUAUUUUUUUUUUAUUUUGAGACAGAGUCUCACUCUGUCCCCCAGGCUGGAGUGCAGUGGUGCCAUCUCGGCUCACUGCAACCUCCGUCUCCUGGGUUCAAGCAAUUCUCCCUGCCUCAGCCUCCCAAGUAGCUGGGAUUACAGGCACCUGCCACCAUGCCCAGCUAAUUUUUGUGAUUUUUAGUAGAGAAGGGGUUUCGCCAUGUUGGCCGGGCUGGUCUUGAACUCCUGACCUCAGGUGAUCUGUCUGCUUUGGCCUCCCAAAGAGCCGAGAUUACAGGCGUGAGCCACUGUGUCCAGCUGCAAUCUUGUCAUUUUUGAAACAGACCCAAUUAUCCCAUAGAACUGACAUUUAUGGCUACUUUGGAAUAAAUAUUGAAAUGAAACCUCCCAGUCUUGAAACUUGGCAAAGUUACAUUUGUCUUAUCUGAGUUCAUUUCUCAGGAAACCAACCAUCAGGCCUCCCUGAUUGAAACUCACUGGAUCUGGACAAUGAGAUGCCAGACCUCUCACCCUUCAUGAUUUCCUAAGCCAACGCCUGCCUGUUGUUGACCAACUCCUCUUCCUUACCCCUCCCUAAUUCCUGUUUUCCUAGAUGUAGUUACAUUUCUUCCUUGCUAUAUAAACCCCUAAGUUUAAUUGGUCAGGGAGACAGAGUUGGGACUGAUCUCCUUGGAUGCGGUACCCAGUUGAAGCCUUCUUCCCCGGCAAUCCUCAUUGUCUUAGUGAUUGGCUUUCUGUGUUGUAAGCAGCAGGACCUAGCCCGAACCCCUGUGGUUUCAGUAACAAUUUCUUGAAAGAAAAACCAUUAGAACUUCCUGUUUUACCCUCUUCUACCUCCGGCCAGGCAGAUUGGCUCCAGAUUCCACACUCUUGUCUUCCAUGUCAUACAAACACUGACAUUUGCAAAGACAGUGCACCACUGUGUAUUUAAAAAGACAUGGCUGGGUGUGGUGGCUCAUGGCUGUAAUCCCAGAACUUUGGGAACCCAAGGCAGGAGGAUCACUUAAGCCCAGGAGUUUGAGACCAGCCUGGGCAACAUGGCAAAACCCUUUCUCUACAAAAAAUACAAAAAAAUUAAAAUUAGCUGGCUGUGGUGGUGUGCACCUGUAGUCUUAGCUACCCAGGAGGCUGAUGUGGGCUUGAGCCUGGGAGGCUGAGGCUGCAGUGAGCCAUGAUCAUGCCACUGUACUCCAGCCUGGGCAACAGAGUGAGACCCUGUCUCCAAAAAAAAAAGUUCUUAUUCCAAAUGCUUCUAGAACUUUAUCACCAUUAAUUAAUUAAUUCAUUCAACCACUGAUCUUGCUGGGUCAGGCACAGUGGCAGGCUAUGUGAAUGCUGAGGUCAGGGACCGAGGCUUAAACACCCCUCAAAGAGAAAGAGAAAGGCACUGGCGUCUAGAAGUAAGAUGUCAGGAGCAUUCCCCUGUAAUGGGCAUCUUGGAUUCCUGCUUCCAUGAGCAAGUCUUGAUACAUGUCUUCUCAACUGUUUCCCUGCUCCCCAGCCGAAUAGGACAUGUGUCAGGAAGUGGUGGGUCAGGCCAAGUGUGAACAUGCCACUAUUUGGGCUGGCCAGACCCCUCAAGAGCCAGGGCUGGAGGGAGAAGCACUGCCCAUCAGCCAAUGUCUUGAGUGAACUGAUUUAAACCAGGGUCUUCUUGGUUCUAAGUGUCGGUCUCUCCACUGAUAGAGACAGAGGCAGAGGGCAUUUUUUCUUGGAAGGGAAACUGCUUAAAUAAAUCAACCUCAAGUCAGGGGAAAGAGAAUGUUAAAAAAAUACAGAAGUGGAAUGAAUGAACACUCCCAAAAGGAACGAGAAAACUCUCCCCUGCUCACUUGUUCAAACUCUGGGAAUUGCUCCAUGGGGUGUCUCAGAGUUGGUCCCUGGAACCUCAAUUCUGGUUUUCAGUAUUGUCCUGCAGUAUUUGUCCUUUCAGUAUUUGUCCAGGUUUACAGCCUGCCUGCCUGGGGCAGAUGCCGAGGGACUCAUUCUAUGUGGCCCUAGGUUGCAUGAUAAGCUCCACUUGGGCCUCCAUUCCAGACUUCAAAGUAUUUGUUGAUUCAGGCUCACUGCAAAUCAGGCAUGCGCCAUACAGCACCCUACCCUUCCCGUCGAUAUUAUCCCCCAUUCUACACAUGAGCUAGCUGAGGCUCAGAGAGGGCAAGUCACUGGUCCAAGGUCCCACAGCUAGGACACAUUGUUGCUAUUCAAGCGUGGAGAAGAGCAGACUCAGGGGCAGACUUUGGAAAGUUAGCACCCAAGAGAGAGCUGGGGCUUGCCCUGUAUGACUCCAGAGAGAAGCCUGUGAUUCUGGCUUGGGUUUCAUAGCAUGUACACAGUGUCUUCAUCCAAUUGUGUUGCUAUUAGGUUGGUGCAAAAAAAUUGCAGUUUUUUACGUUAAAGUAAUGGCAAAAAACCCAUGACUUUUGCACCAACUUAAUAUACUAAAAUACCACAGACUGGGCAAGUUCUAAGCAAUAGAAAUUUAUCUCUCAAGUUCUGGAGGCUGGAUGUCCAAGAUCCAGGUGCUGCAGGUUUGGUGUCUGGUGAGGGAUGUUCUCUGCUUCCUGUCUUACUCUGGAUUCUUCUGGAAACGACGAGUGCUGUGCUGUCACAUGGCAGAGGGCAAAAAGGAGUGAUUACUAGUUUCCUCCAGCCCUUUCAUAAGGUUGCUAAUUCCACUCUUUUUUUUUUUUUUUUUUUGAGACAGAGUCACUCUGUCUCCCAGGCUGACGUGCAAUGGUGCGAUCUCGGCUCAC
rnacentral:lncRNA from 1 species